GAUGAACGCUGGCGGCGUGCCUAAUACAUGCAAGUCGAGCGAACAGGCGAGGAGCUUGCUCCUCUGACGUUAGCGGCGGACGGGUGAGUAACACGUGGAUAACCUACCUAUAAGACUGGGAUAACUUCGGGAAACCGGAGCUAAUACCGGAUAAUAUAUUGAACCGCAUGGUUCAAUAGUGAAAGACGGUUUUGCUGUCACUUAUAGAUGGAUCCGCGCCGCAUUAGCUAGUUGGUAAGGUAACGGCUUACCAAGGCAACGAUGCGUAGCCGACCUGAGAGGGUGAUCGGCCACACUGGAACUGAGACACGGUCCAGACUCCUACGGGAGGCAGCAGUAGGGAAUCUUCCGCAAUGGGCGAAAGCCUGACGGAGCAACGCCGCGUGAGUGAUGAAGGUCUUCGGAUCGUAAAACUCUGUUAUUAGGGAAGAACAAAUGUGUAAGUAACUAUGCACGUCUUGACGGUACCUAAUCAGAAAGCCACGGCUAACUACGU
rnacentral:rRNA from 1 species